rnacentral:rRNA from 1 species
AGGAGCAAUCUGACCCAGCCAUGCCGCGUGAAGGAUGAAUGUCCUAUGGAUUGUAAACUUCUUUUAUGCAGGAAAAAACUCCCGGUCGUGACCGGGACUGAUGGUACUGUAUGAAUAAGCAUCGGCUAACUCCGUGCCAGCAGUCGCGGUAAUACGGAGGAUGCAAGCGUUAUCCGGAUUCAUUGGGUUUAAAGGGUGCGCAGGCGGAAUGAUAAGUCAGUGGUGAAAUCUCCCAGCUUAACUGGGAAACUGCCAUUGAUACUGUCAUUCUUGAGUACAGUUGAAGUGGGCGGAAUGUGUCAUGUAGCGGUGAAAUGCUUAGAUAUGACACAGAACACCGAUAGCGAAGGCAGCUCACUAAGCUGUAACUGACGCUCAUGCACGAAAGCGUGGGGAUCAAACAGGAUUAGAUACCCUGGUAG